rnacentral:rRNA from 1 species
GCUUGUCUCAAAGAUUAAGCCAUGCAUGUCUAAGUACAAGCCUCAGUAAGGUGAAACCGCGAAUGGCUCAUUAAAUCACACCUAAUCUACUGGAAAGUUACUAGUUACUUGGAUAACUGAGGUAAUUCUUGAGCUAAUACAUGCGAAAAGUCGGCGCAAGUCGAUGUAUUUAUUAGAUACAGAAUCAAUACGUGUUCUGCACGUUCUAUUGAUGAAUCAUAAUAACUGUUCGAAUCGCACGGGCAACCGGCGAUAGUUCAUUCAAAUUUCUGCCCUAUCAGCUUUCGACGGUAGUGUAGUGGACUACCGUGGCGUUAACGGGUAACGGAGAAUUAGGGUUCGAUUCCGGAGAGGGAGCCUGAGAAACGGCUACCACAUCCAAGGAAGGCAGCAGG